ensembl:lncRNA
CUUUUUCACGGUCUGGUCUCCUGUCAUGGUGUUGUCCGGGAGAGAAGCAUGUAAACGAGAAAGAUGACGAUAAAAAGUCUUUAAUAAUCCAUAUGGGGUAAUCCAUAGGGAGAAGGCAGAAACACACGUACACAUUGACAAGACCAGACAACCAAACACUGAACUGAAUGCAACUUAUAAGGCGAAUGUCACAUGUCGGAGCGGACCACAGAUGUCGUGUGUCACGCCCCUUCCUAGUUUCCACCUCGAGGAGGUCCCAAGAACACCCCAAGGACCAGACACACGAGAGACGGUAAGUAAAUAUUAAAACAAACUUUAUUAAACUACUAAAAAAAGGGGUAUGGGAAGGGAGGCUAAAAUCCAACUCUCUUUUUUUGGAGAGUAACAGUCUCGAGUCUCUUAGACUCCGUCGCGGGAGAUCUCAGGUGAGUCCUUCACUCCUCUUUCCUUCUGGCUAUGUGACGACAAUCAGCUUAUUCACAAGUGCCCCUUUAUUCUGGCUUGCAGGACGACUGUCCAGAGUCCUCUCCUUUCCUGGACGUAACAGAUACAAGUGGUAAGUAUUGAGAGUUUGGAUGCACAAUGGAUACCUGCUGCUACUCGUGGCGAACUCCGAGGCGGCCCAGCGGGUUGUACUCCCGGUCGUCCAGAUGCUGGUGGAACUGCACAAGGGCUGCCGGGAUCCAACUAAAACCGUACUGGUAAGUGUACGGGAGGGGGUUUCCGCAGUUUCUGUAUCCUGAGUGACGGGUCGACAUGCAGGUAGAUGCUUCAAAGGGACCCGCUAGAUCUGCACAAGAGCAUACAGGUAAGUGUAACAGGACUGGACACGGACAGUGGACAGAGGGGCCGCUGGCUCUUCACUCGGGGGCACAAGUAAGUCCGUAGGAAAGACAACUGGGGCUUCACUUGAGCAUACAGGCGAGUGUACAACACAAUAUGCUGGCUUUAGCUUUGGGCAUAAGGUAAGUACAUCAAAUGUAACCGGGACUUCACUCUGGGCAGACAGGCGAGUGUACAACACAAUAUGCUGGCUUUAGCUUUGGGCAUACGCUUACGGUGAAUAUACAGGGAAACAGGAAGUGAUGUAACUCACAGACCUUCGAGGGAAUAGACGUCAGACGUUCCUUUUCUGAGGCUUCUACCAACUGCUGAUAGAGAGGCGGAUCGAAAACUACUGUUGCGUUGGGCCGAACACGGCCUCCGCUGGCGUCACACACAGGUAAGUUGUUUCACCCGGGGUGUACUACACUGGAUGGGUCGAACGCUUCCCUCUUCUUUCUACCAACCGACAAGGCAAGAGAUAUAGACAGGGGCGAACCUUUGAAGAACUCCACAGCAGGUAAUAAUACACGCACAGCUGAUUUCCUCCUACAGCAGCCAACUCCUCACCAUUAAUACUUCCCAAUAGAUCCACACUGUUCUUACUUGAAAUUGUUUCCCACCACCGUCACGUGGGGAAGAAGGGUCAGGAUGUCAUCGACGGCAUAUAAUUGGAGAUGUUUUCUUCGCCCCCCUCGGUACUCACUUCCUUCACAGGAUUUUGUCGGGCCUGAAAGGUGGUUGUUGACAACACAACACAGCACAACACUGCAAUUUUCAAGUGUAUACACUCACAGCAAAGGACAAAGACUCCACGAGACACUCCACACACUCUUGGUGAAUUUAGGGUCAAAACCCCGUCUGACCAAAGACUCGUCCUGGAAAUCGUGGAGACACUGAUGCCACGAAUAUUCAGAUUUAAACGUCGCCGCCACGACACCCCAACGUCCUCUCUCGCUCACUGGUCCCGGCUCACCCACA